UACGGGGGGGGCAAGCGUUGUUCGGAAUUACUGGGCGUAAAGGGCUUGUAGGUGGCCAACUAAGUCAGACGUGAAAUCCCUGGGCUCAACCCAGGAACUGCGUCCGAUACUGGUUGGCUUGAAUCCGGGAGAGGGAUGUGGAAUUCCAGGUGUAGCGGUGAAAUGCGUAGAUAUCUGGAGGAACACCGGUGGCGAAGGCGGCGUCCUGGACCAACACUGACACUGAGGAGCGAAAGCCAGGGGAGCAAACGGG
rnacentral:rRNA from 1 species